rnacentral:rRNA from 1 species
CCUACGGGGGGCAGCAGGGGGGAAUAUUGCACAAUGUGGGAAACCCUGAUGCAGCAACGCCGCGUGAGCGAAGAAGGCCUUCGGUUCGUAAAGCUCUUUCCUAAGGCAAGAAGCAUGACGGUACCUUAUGAGGAAGCCCCGGCUAACUACGCGCCAUCAGGCGCGGGAAUACGUAGGGGGCGAGCUGUAUCCGCAAUCACUGGGCGUAAAGGGUGCGUAGGCGGCCAAUUAAGCCAGAGGUUGAAGGCUACGGCUCAACCGUAGUAAGCCUUUGGAACUGAAUGGCUUGAGUGCAGGGGAGGAGAGUGGAAUUCCUAGUGUCGCGGUGAAAUGCGUAGAUAUUAGGAGGAACACCAGUGGCGAAGGCGACUCUCUGGACUGUAACUGACGCUGAGGCACGAAAGCGUGGGGAGCAAACAGGAUUAGAUACCCCGGUAGUC